rnacentral:rRNA from 1 species
UCCUCCCUCUGGCGGCGUGCCUAAUACAUGCAAGUUGAGCGCUGAAGGUUGGUACUUGUACCAACUGGAUGAGCAGCGAACGGGUGAGUAACGCGUGGGGAAUCUGCCUUUGAGCGGGGGACAACAUUUGGAAACGAAUGCUAAUACCGCAUAAAAACUUUAAACACAAGUUUUAAGUUUGAGAGAUGCAAUUGCAUCACUCAAAGAUGAUCCCGCGUUGUAUUAGCUAGUUGGUGAGGUAAAGGCUCACCAAGGCGAUGAUACAUAGCCGACCUGAGAGGGUGAUCGGCCACAGUGGGACUGAGACACGGCCCAAACUCCUACGGGAGGCAGCAGUAGGGAAUCUUCGGCAAUGGACGAAAGUCUGACCGAGCAACGCCGCGUGAGUGAAGAAGGUUGUCGGAUCGUAAAACUCUGUUGGUAGAGAAGAACGUUGGUGAGAGUGGAAAGCACAUCAAGUGACGGUAACUACCCAGAAAGGGACGGCUAACUACGUG